rnacentral:rRNA from 1 species
GACGAACGCUGGCGGCGUGCUUAACACAUGCAAGUCGAACGGAAAGGCCCUGCUUGCGGGGUACUCGAGUGGCGAACGGGUGGGUAACACGUGGGUGAUCUGCCCUGCACUUCGGGAUAAGCUUGGGAAACUGGGUCUAAUACCGGCUAGGUACGCACUUUAGUGUGUGUGUUGGAGAGUUUUUUCGGUGUAGGAUUAGCUCGCAGCCUAUCAGCUUGUUGGUGGGGUAAUUGCCUACCAAGGCGGCGACGGGUAGGCGGCCUGAGAGGGUGUACGGCCACAUUGGGUCUGAGAGACGGCCCAGACUCCUACCGGAGGCAGCAGUGGGGAAUAUUGCACAAUGGGCGCAAGCCUGAUGCAGCGACGCCGGGUGGGGGAUGAAGGCCUUCGGGUUGUAAACGCCUUUCGCUAGGGACGAAGCUUUUUGUGACGGUACCUAGAUAAGAAGCACCGGCUAACUACGUG